CAAUAAACCUUAUUGAAGCGGCUAUCCUUUUUGUUGCCCACACAAACAUCCCUCACUAACCAUCACAAAAAGAUAAUAGCGGAAAGAAGGGCUACCC
rnacentral:sRNA from 1 species